CUCAGUUUUCUCCAUUUCCUUUUUUCUAACGUUAUUUGACUGGUUUCCGCUGAGCCGAGCUCAGAGGAGCAGAUUCGCCACUGUCAGAGUUGUGAGUAACACUCAGUUCAUCGGCGGCUCGUUUUGCCAGGACACCCAACUUUGUGACAAUGAAUAAGAUCCUGAUUUGCCUCCUCAUCUGCAUGGCGCUUCUUGUGGGCAUACAGAGCCAAACACCGCAAAUGUCGAAUACAACAAAAAGCGAAGCUGCUGGGUUUACCUCAGUCACUGUCAAGCUGCUGGUUUUGUCGUUUCUCCCAGUCUUCCUGCAGAGAGUACUCUCCUAACCGAAUAACACAGAGGCAGCUCCAUCAGCCCUCUCACUCAGCACGGAGACCAUUCUGCACAGCCAACAUUCAUCUUCAGAUUCACUCUCAACGUCCAUCACUAACUGAGCCUGAUGCUGCCUCCUCAGUCAGUUGAUUGAGGCAUGCUCAUCUACCAGUUAUCUCUCUCCACCCUUGAUUUCUACUAGCCUUUUUACUCUGAUCUGCCAAGUAAUUGGAAUGGAGAAAUAUACAGUGUAAAGUUAAAUCAAUAAGUAAACCAAAAGCAUCAAUGUUCACUCUAAUGUGGCUGAAUAUCAUUCUGCUAUUCAUGGCAUGUGUUGACAUUUAAAGUGACUUUUUUUAACAAUAAACAAACAAUCUUGGUA